rnacentral:rRNA from 1 species
CACGUAGGGUGCGAGCGUUGACCGGAAUUAUUGGGCGUAAAGAGCUCGUAGGCGGUGUGUCGCGUCGGCCGUGAAAACCUGCAGCUUAACUGUGGGCUUGCGGUCGAUACGGGCAUCACUGGAGUUCGGCAGGGGAGACUGGAAUUCCUGGUGUAGCGGUGAAAUGCGCAGAUAUCAGGAGGAACACCGGUGGCGAAGGCGGGUCUCUGGGCCGAUACUGACGCUGAGGAGCGAAAGCGUGGGGAGCGAACAGG